UACGUAGGCAGCAAGCGUUGUUCGGAGUUACUGGGCGUAAAGGGUGCGUAGGCGGCCUUAUAAGUAUGGUGUGAAAUCUCCCGGCUUAACUGGGAGGGUGCGCUAUAGACUGUGGGGCUAGAGUGUGGGAGAGGAAAGUGGAAUUCCUGGUGUAGCGGUGAAAUGCGUAGAUAUCAGGAGGAACACCGGUGGUGUAAACGGCUUUCUGGACCAUAACUGACGCUGAGGCACGAAAACGUGGGUAGCAAACAGG
rnacentral:rRNA from 1 species